rnacentral:lncRNA from 1 species
CAUUCACAAUUAAGCACGCACGAAGUGAGAGGGAAAUUGCUUUUAAAUGACAAAUGUCUUCAAAUAUUAGAAAAAUGCAUUUAACUGAUGGAAAAAAAUUCCUACUCAAUUUCUGUGCUGCUGAAUAUCUGAUAUUUCAUAUCUGGAAAAUAGGCUUUAUGGGAAACAAAAAGAACUGCCCAUCUCCGUCCUCCCUCUGCACAGCUGGGCCUGAGCUGCACCCUUAAACCAUCUGUGCUUGGUGGCCUGGAAUCUAGAAAGCGCGGUGCCUACCUGCAAUGGAGGUUUGGUGUUAAGGACGAGAUUUAUAUGACAAAGAUAUUUCUGGCAAGACGUGGAGAGAAAGAGUCCCUUCAAUGAAAAAAUGCAAGACUGUUCUGACUGCUUUUUCAGAAAUAUAUCCACCAACUUCUGUAUGAAGUCACCAAGAAUACCGCAACCAGCAAAGAACUCCUCUCUAAAAACGUGGCUCAUCCCCUCGAAAGAUCCAGGUGAACACACUGGGAUUCAUCACGGAAAGAACUCAACCCAUGGAGAAUGAAGAGGAGCAAGACAGGAAAAUCACCCAUCUGGGAAUGGCAUGGAGCCAGGGGAGGCUCCCCAACCAUGGGGAAAUGGUGCUCACCAUUGGCCAGCCCCACCAAAAGCCAAACUAUAAGGAGGCAUCCAGCCAAACAGCCUCUUCAGUCUUGGAACAGCUUGGAAAAUGAAUCUGGAAGGACAAAUAGGUGAUCUACAGCAUAAUCUCCAUUAUAGUGUACUUUCUCUUCAUCCGGUUGAUUUGGUUUGGAUCUGUGUCCCCACCCAAAUCUCAUGUUGAACUGUAAUCUCCAGUGUUGGAGGUGGGGCCUCGUGGGAGGUGUUUGGAUCAUGAAGGCAGAUUCCUUAUGAAUGAUUUGGGCCAUCCCUUUGGUGAUGAGUGAGCUCUUGCUCUGAGUUGACAGGAGAUCUGGUCAUUCAAAAGUGUGUGACAUGCUCCCUGCCUCCACCUGCUCUUGCUCAUGCUUUUGCCAUGUGACUUGCCUGCCCCUUGUUCGCCUUCUGCCAUGAUUGUAAGCUUCCAGAAGCCUCCCUGGAAGCUGAGUAGUUGCCAGCACCAUGCUUCCUGUAAAGUCUGAAGAACUGUGAAUGAAUUAAACUUCUUUUCUUUAUAAAUUACUUUAUAAAUGGUAAAGGUAUUUCUUUACAGUAAUGCAAGAAUGCCCUAAUACACAGGUCCGAGAUCAAAGGAUAAAAAAUUA